CUUUCUUUUCCUUUCUUUAUAACACACACACAUAUUUUGAUAAGGUAGAAAAAAAAACAGAAUGGAGAGAGAGAGAGAGUGGGACCGGAAAUAAAAAUGGAAAAAAGAGAACGGGAGGGGACGACAAUAGGCGGUUUUCCUAUUUUCUUCUUCUACAACACACUCACACAGACACGGAUAUAGAGUGGAGGAGCUGGACGAAAAAGGGAUCGAGGGGGUAAGAAGCUUAGAACAAAAUUUUAGAGAAGGUUUUGAGCAGAAAUUCUGAGAAAAGAAAAAAAUCAAAAAAUACAUAUUCCAGUUAAGAAUUCUUAGGACAAAAUUUUAGAGAAUUUAUUUUUAAUAGGGAAUUUCUUCUAUUUUUUUUUUUUUUUUGGGUAAGUUUCCGCUGAUACAAAAAAGGGUGAGGAAGUUUCAGUAUUUUUUCGUAUUUCAAAAAUAUAAAAAAAUAUUGUGUUUCUUCUUCUGGGUUCCUGUUUUGAGAUGGAGAUUUGUUCAAGCCAAGUUUAAUUUGUCAGUCGAGGUUCGGGGUCCCAGUUCCCAUUGCUGAAUUCAUAGUUAUUUUCUGAGCACUUGAUUGUUGUAUCCGCACGUCUCAUUUCUAGAACAUUAAAAUUGACUAAAGUUUUAUACACUCAGUUCGAUUUCAGUUCUAUGGCUAGACUUCUCAUUAUAUAUUCUCGUUGAUGUUCGAGGUGUCGAUUUCAGUUCUGUUGGUUGGUUCAGUUCUUAAUUUCAGGUUCCUUUUCUAUCUUCUUUUGUUUUCUUGUCUUGUUCUUUGGUGUUUGAUUUAAAAUAUAAUAAGAGUCAUGGUAAUCGUGUGUGAGAUUUAUUAGCACCUUUGGGUUAUUAACAUUUGUUCUUAAAAGAAUUGCAUCUAAAUGUUUGAUUUGGGCUGAGUUUUGCUUUUUGAACAAUGUUAGUUCUAUGUUCUUGCUGUUUGAUGUAGAAAUAGUCGAUAGGGACAAAAUAUUUGAAUCUCGCUGAAUGUCGCAUUAAUCUGCCUUGUCUCGUUCAGUAGUGCUUAGAUCUGUUGUUUGUGUUUGCUAGCUUUUGUUAAUUCGUAUAUAUAUCGUAAGCCGGCGUGUAUUCCGAAUCAUUCAUGAGUAGUUGAUUAGCAUCCAUGUUCUAAAGUUCAUUUUCGGGUGUUCCAACUACUUUCUUUUGGGCGUUUCUCAUCAUGUUUGCCUCUUUUUCGUUCACGAUGAUUGCACGCAGAAAUUGAUUUUGUGUCAUCCUUUUGAACAUGUCGAUUGUUUUGUAAAUAGUGACUGUAGUUUUUUUUAGUCUUCAACAAUGAUUGUAAUUCACUAAUUGGAAAAGUGUUCAUUUUUAUAAAAGUUAUGGGAUUUCUCUGUUGCUUCUUUGGAUUUGUGAAUUGUUUCUCCAUACAGUCAAUUUGGUCAUAAGUUUAGUAAAUCAUAAGAUGAGAUAGGUGCAUUGAGUUGGGACUAUUUAAAAGCAGGUUGUGAAUAAGCAUGAAUCUCAUAGUUUGCUUUAGGCUCGUAAUAAGAUUUUUACGGCAACAGGUACGGUUCCCGUGACGUAGUUGUGGUAUUAAAUUUCGAAUUAGCUUUAAAUAAAAUCUCAAAACGCAUGACCCUCAUUUAAUUCAUUUUGAUCCUUAGAAAUCGAGGCUACCAUUUAGUUGAACUUCCCAUGGCCCUCGCAAAGUUGAAGUGCAUAGUUGUUUUAGGCGCGUUAUUUUAAAAAAUUAAUUUCCUAAACUCGGGUGUGCAUUUCAUGUGACCAAAAUCCAAAUCUUAACAACGUUAAAUAAAACAUGUCGCGGAUCGCGGGUGCAUUUCAUGUGGCGUGGUUCAAGGCAUGUUUUAAAUAAUGUUGAAUCUUCCUAAAAUAAUUAAAAGCGGUUAAUAAGUUAAAAAUGCACCAUAGGCUAAAACAUGUAUUAAAAUCAGAUAAUAGGCCAACUAUAAUAGUUUAAGCGACCGUGCUAGAACCACGGAACCCGAGAAUGUCUAACACCUUCUCCCGGGUUAACAGAAUUCCUUACUUAGAAUUUUUGGUUUGUAGACUUCAAAAGGAAAGUCAAAUUUCAUCGAUUUGGGAUUAAAAAAAUAAAUCGGUGACUUGGGACACCAGUUAAAAUAUUCCAAGUGGCGACUCUAAAAAUAAAUAAAUAAUCUUAUUUCGAAUAAUGUCACUUAAAGUGGAAAAACUCUCUUAUACCCCUUCCCGGGGGUGUGGAAAAAGGAGGUGUGAUAACGCCUACCCUUGUUUAUUUGCCUUCCAUGUGAGAAUGGCUCUUUUGGGUCACGUGAGUUGUCAGUAUGAUUAUGAGGUGUGAUGAGGGCAUAGGAUGCCAAGUGUUAGGGUUUAGGUAUUGAGACCCGUAUUGUAUGAUUAUGAGAUGAGGUGUCACAGGGUAAAUUAUAUUCCAAGGGUAUUUAUUUGAAAAAAUUAUGUUCGAAAGGCAUUCAUUUUUAGAGAACUAUUUUUGAAAAAUAUUUACUUGGAGGAAGUAUAUUUUAUCAGCUGAAGGAUUCGACUAAUUGAUUGAAGUUUGUGGCUAUGGCCGAAUGUGAAAACUGUCGUAGUUACUGAGUUAUGACUUGUCUUUACUGUAUUUGUGAUUUCGGAUUUGGAUUGUAUUCCCGUUCACUUUCUAUGUUCUUAUUAUGGUGUUCCGCUGUCACUUGCUGUUUUCCUUCCUUAUUGCAAAAUUUUUGUAUUGUUAACCAUAUCUCGUAGUCUUUAUAUAGCUAUCAUGUUAUAUUAUUUUUGUACUUAUAUUUGUUCAGUUUAUUAGACCAGUAGGUGUCUUGACUAUUCCUCGUCACUAGUCCACCGAGGUUAGUCUUGACACUUACUGGGCACCGUUGUGGUGUGCUCAUACUACAUUUCUGCACAUUGUUGUGCAGAUCCAGGUAUUGUUCGAUAGUAGCUGUGCGGAUUCUUGCCGAGGAGACUCAAGGAAGCCUUGAUGUUGCGUUCGCAGGCCUCAGAGUCACCUUCCUAUUGUAUAUCCACACAGUUGUACUUAUUUACUUACAGUUGUGUUUAGAAGUUGUGGCGAAACUUUGUAGAGCUUAUGACUUGUACCGCCGGUUUUGGGAAGAUGUAUAUUUCAUAAAGAUUUCUAUGUUCGAAAUUGUUAGACUUUAUGUAUUAUGAUUGAUAUUCAGUAAAUGUUAGGCUUACCUAGUCCUUAAGACUAGCUUCCAUCACGAAACCCAAGGAAAGGGAAAUUGGGUCGUGACAAACUCCAAUAUUAAUGAUGAUGAUAAACCCGAGACAAACUAUCAUGGCAUUAAAGGCAUGAUUUAUACUUACUCAAAGAAUAAACUCAUUCAUUAUCUAGUGUCUUGAUUUAUGUAUAUCAACAUAUCUCUGUUGAAAAAGGAC
rnacentral:lncRNA from 1 species